rnacentral:tmRNA from 1 species
CCCCUUUUCAAUUCCGUCCGCACCCCUUACAUAUGAUCUGUCCCCUCGGGGACUAUGGACAUAAACGCGCUCGUAAUAAGCGGAUCGGACCCGGGGGCGGUACCCGGCGCCUCCACCAUAACACACUCAGGGGCAUCCUUCGUUUGGGGAACACCUUGAUAUCGUGGGGGCGAAAUAGGAUCGACGGACGUCUAAAGGGGUUAGCUUUGUUUCGGUGAGAUACCACCGUUAUCGGUUCACUUAAGCUAGUUGCAAACGACAACAAAGCUCCGGCAAUGGCUCUGGCUGCGUAAGCAGUUCGGGUCGCCGAAACUUAAGUCCUUAUGCCUAGCCGCGUAAGGCGGGGUUCGCAGGUACCUGGCAACAGAAACCUGCACU